rnacentral:lncRNA from 1 species
AUGGUGAAGGUCAGUGUGAACAGAUUUGGCCGUAUUGGGCGCCUAGUAAUCAGGGCUGCCAUCUGUUCUCCACUUGGCAAAGUGGAGAUAGUUGCCAUCAAUGACCUUUCAUUGACCUCAACUACAUGGUCUACAUGUUCCAGUAUGACUCCACCCACGGCAAAUUCAACGGCACAGUCAAGGCUGAGAAUGGGAAGCUUGUCAUCAACGGGAAGCCUAUUACCAUCUUCCAGGAGUGAGAUCCUGCUAACAUCAAAUGGGGCUGAGGCCGGUGCUGAGUAUGUCGUGGAGUCUACUGGUGUCUUCACCACCAUGGAGAAGGCCGGGGCCCACUUGAAGGGUGGAGCCAAAAGGGUCAUCAUCUCCGCCCCUUCUGCCGAUGCCCCCAUGUUUGUAUUGGGUGUGAACCACGAGAAAUAUGACAACUCACUCAAGAUUGUCAGAAAUGCAUCCUGCACCACCAACUCCUUAGCCCCCCUGGCAAGGUCAUCCAUGACAACUUUGGCAUUAUGGAAGGGCUCAUGACCACGGUCUGUGCCAUCACUGCCACUCAGAAGACUGUGGAUGGCCCCUCUGGAAAGCUGUGGUGUGAUAGCUGUGGGGCUGCCUAGAACAUCAUUGCUGUAUCCACUGGUGCUGCCAAGGCUGUGGGCAAAGUCAUCCCAGAGCUGAACGGGAAGCUCACUGGCAUGGCCUUCCGUGUUCCUAUCCCCAGUGUAUCAGUUGUGGAUCUAAAUGCCUCCUGGAGAAACCUGCCAAGUAUGAUGACAUCAAGAAGAUGGUGAAGCAGGCAUCUGAGGGCCAACUGAAGGGCAUCCUGGGCUACACUGAGGACCAGGUUGUCUCCUAUGACUUUAAAUGUAACUCCCAGUCUUCCACCUUUGAUGCUGGGUCUGGCAUUGUUCUCAAUGACAACUGUGUAAAGCUCAUUUCUUGGUACGAAAAUGAAUAAGGCUACAGCAACAGGGUGGUAGACCUCAUAGCUUAUAUGGUCUCAAGGGAGUAA